rnacentral:rRNA from 1 species
UACAGAGGUCCCAAGCGUUGUUCGGAUUCACUGGGCGUAAAGGGUGCGUAGGCGGUCGGGUAAGUCUGACGUGAAAUUCUGGAGCUCAACUCCGGAACUGCGUCGGAAACUAUUCGGCUAGAGGAUUGGAAGGGGGACUGGAAUUCUCGGUGUAGCAGUGGAAUGCGUAGAUAUCGAGAGGAACACCCGUGGCGAAGGCGAGUCCCUGGACAAUUCCUGACGCUGAGGCACGAAAGCUAGGGGAGCAAACAGG